rnacentral:rRNA from 1 species
AUUGAACGCUGGCGGCAGGCCUAACACAUGCAAGUCGAACGAGUGGCGGACGGGUGAGUAAUGUCUGGGAAACUGCCCGCUGGAGGGGGAUAACUCCUGGAAAUGGUAGCUAAUACCGCAUACCAUCGGAUGUGCCCAGAUGGGAUUAGCUUGUAGGUGAGGUAACGUGUCACCUAGGCGACGAUCACUAGCUGGUCUGAGAGGAUGACCAGCCACACUGGAACUGGGACACGGUCCAGACUCCUACGGGAGGCAGCAGUGGGGAAGAUUGGACAAGGGGCGCAAGCCUGAUGCAGCCAUGCCGCGUGUAUGAAUAAGGCCUUCGGGUUGUAAAGUACUUUCAGCGGGGAGGCGUUACCCGCAGAAGAAGCACCGGCUAACUCCGUGCCAGCAGCCGCGGUAAUAC